AACGAACGCUGGCGGCGUGGCUAAGACAUGCAAGUCGAACGGACUAUUGCCUUGAGUAAUCGAGACAAUAGUUAGUGGCGAAAGGGUUAGUAAUGAAUAGGUAACGUACCCUGUGCAUCGGGAUAGCGUUAUUCGCCUUCGGGCGAAUUUCCGAAAGGGGCGGUAAUACCGAAAAUAUUACUUGUCGAUGGACAAGUAAUCAAAGAUUUAUCGGCACAGGAGCGGCCUAUUUCCUAUCAGCUUGUUGGUGAGGUAACUGCUCACCAAGGCUAUGACGGGUAGCGGGACUGAGAGGUUGACCCGCAACAUCGGGACUGAGACACUGCCCGGACCUCCACGGAGGGCUGCAGUAACGAGUCUUGCGCAAUGGGCGAAAGCCUGACGCAGCGACGCCGCGUGCGGGAAGAAGUCCCUCGGGAUGUAAACCGCUGUCAGGGUAAAGAAAGUCCACUUCGGUGGAUUGAUCUAACCCAAAGGAAGUCACGGCUAACUUCGUGCCAGCAGCCGCGGUAAGACGAAGGUGGCAAGCGUUGUUCGGUAUCACUGGGCUUAAAGCGUGUGUAGGCGGAAAAGUAAGCGUCGCGUGAAAGCCCCCGGCUUAACCGGGGAACUGCUCGACGAACUGCCUUUCUUGAGGCAAGCAGGGGUGCACGGAACUCUUGGUGGAGCGGUGGAAUGCGUAGAUAUCAAGAGGAACGCCGGUGGAGAAAUCGGUGCACUGGGCUUGUUCUGACGCUGAGACACGAAAGCGUGGGGAGCGAACGGGAUUAGAUACCCCGGUAGUCCACGCCGUAAACGAUGUCUACUAGGUUGUGGUAGUUCUGACACCAGCACGGCCGAAGCAAAAGUGAUUAGUAGACCGCCUGGGGAGACGGUCGCAAGGCU
rnacentral:rRNA from 1 species